GGAAAUCUAUCCUCCUGGGGAGGUCCCAUGCUGAGUGACCUUGGGAACAUUGGAUUAUCUGUGUGGUCCUGACUCCUGUAGUGUCCCCUUGAGGUAUCUGCUUUACCUUUUGACCUGAGAGGACCCGGCACGGUCCAGGUACCAAUUUCGACUGUGAGCGUUUAGUGUAUUUUGUUCCAGUGGCCACUGUUGGUGCUGUCGAACACUUAAGCUUCGAGCGGCUGGGUAAGAGCAAGGUGCCCUGGGUAAGAGUUGUCAGAAAUGGGUGUGUGGGCGCGAGGUCACAAUACUCGCACAACAUAGUGACAGUGGAUCACUAUUUCGGGGCUUGAGCCAUGACGGUGUGAACAGUAUAAUAGCCUGCAAACCCUCACUGGAGAUAUAUUGUGCCCAAUCAUAUACUCUUAAAUUGUUAAAGAUUUUACUUCUGCUAGCACUUGCUAACAAAGGUCAUUUUUUUUAUAGGUAAGUUGGCUAAAGAAGCAGCAUAAUUCAAUGCAAUUGCCAUAGUCUUUCAUUGAACUUAAAAUACGGAUUCUCAGUGAAUCUAUAGAUUUCAUAACUUAAUAUAAAAAAGAAAUAGGUUGGGACAAAUUCAACAAUUAUUACCGUAUAGACUUUAUGAAUCAAAACUGUUGGUCUUUAUAUAUGAAAUAGAAUAAAAUCCCUGGCUCAUUUUGAAAUGCUAUGCUCAAAUAGUUGAAAACUCAAAAAAAUAUGUAUACAUAUUUGUAGAAUUACAUAGCUUAAAAUGUUAUAGACAACCCAAAAAAAACCUAAGAUCACAAUCAUACUUUAAAAACCGAAGACCUUCAUCCUUUAAAAUCCUAAAUACUCUUAUUCCUUUAAACACUACACUGCAGCGGCGUAUCCGGUUCCUUACCGCCACGGUAAACUGUAAGCGUUAGACUGAAGAAUUAAAGUCUGUACUCA